rnacentral:lncRNA from 13 species
UGGCAAUUUUAGAGUCUGCAAAAGAUACAGGAAAGUACAAAGAAUUCAGGGCAUUUUGCAGCAGUAUGGCUGGAGAGAAAGACACACAGCCGGUGGGGAGCUGAGUGAAACAGCUGGGACAUGGUCCCAGUGGACUGCUGCGUGCUAAACCUGUCUAAUGUAUGAACUGAAACUAAAUCAGAAUGCAUGUGUGUAUUUAAACACGCACAACUGGCACCCAAGACUAAAAUUUUAGUGAUUAUAUAUUUUAAAUUAGAUCUUGAUCUUAAAAACUGCCUCUGUUUCCCUGCAGGAAGCAAGCAAGCCAAAAUGUUUUUAAAUCUAUUUCUGAGUUUGUACUGAGGCUUUUCUACUUCAACAAAUUCCAGCAAGACAGUUUGCCAGGAGUUUUUUCUUGGUCCAUCUACUUAACCACUAGUUAGGCAUUACAAACAAAAAGUAAAAAUCCAACAAGUUGAUUACCUUGCAGAACCCCUCAGUAGUAGCUCUUCACCUCUGCUCCCCUAAACCAAGAUGUGAUCAGACAGAAAGCCAGAGCUGCUUGAAGGUGAUGCUUAUAGAAACUGCGUGUUUGUGUAGAAAUUAGGUAACGCUGGCUCAGGGGAGGCGGGAGAACUGUGGGAGGGGAGAGAGGCGGGGACAGAGGGAAGAAGGAAGGGGGGGAGAAGCUUCCAGGCAUUUUUGUUUUGGGCAGGGUGAACGCUUUAUCCUUUCUUGGACUUCCACCCGCAGGUCAGCCUGGAUACUGCAGCUGAAGUGUGACCUGCACUUUGUGGCAAAACUAGCCAGAGCAGCAGGUAAGUCCUAUAUUUCCAGCAGAAGGCAAGGAGAACUCUGGAUUUACUUUGGCAAGGGCCCCCAGAGUCAGGGACAGCUGAUGAGAGGGCCCAUAUCUGAGACACAGCCAUUUCAGCAAAGGAGAAAAGUGCAGCCCCUGGCUCUGUAUCCCUCACAUCUGGAUUCAUCUUCUCAUGGGCAUAACAUGACGUACUCAUGAUUACUUUAGCCAGGUGGGUUUCAGAAGACAGAAAAAAGCUGGAGGAGCUCACCAUUUACAGAUGUGGAAACCAUUUCUAUAACUGACAGUGUGCUUUGGCCAUUUCUUAUUAAUGUCUUUUGAUAAUCUCCUUCACAAAUCAAGCAAACUGGGUAAGGACAGAGACUGUGCAGACAGGAAUGUCAUUUGCAGUAAUGUUCACACUGUGCUCAUUCUCAGGCUUCAGAGAGGCUUACUCAUUAAUUUGAAGAGGGUAGGAGAGGCUCUCUUUGCUGACCUACGCUACAUAAAAUAAAACACAGUUAGUAAAGCAGGAUGGCUAACUUCACUGUAAAGGUCCAAGUUUCUCUUCUCCCUUGUUUGAUAAAUGACUGUCAUCAGAAUUACUGUGCUCCCCUAAAGCAAUUAGUCAUUAUUGGAUGAUCAAAGUAUUUAUCAAAACUUCAGGUGCAGUGUGAUUGAUCUUCAUUUGGGUUGGAAGGGUUUCCUUGCUGGAUUUUGGAGAAGGAAUCCAUCAGUGGCACAGCCAUCAAACAGAAGGCAGCAGGUAUAUCCUUGUCAGAGAGAUAUAUGACUAUGCAGAAGUUCCAAAAGGUGCCAAGAAGUGCAGCUCAGUAGCAGAGGUAGCUACUGUCACCUGGCAAAACUAUUGGGUUUUAGGAGAUAGAACAUUUAAUCCACCCACCCACAUCAAGACUGCCAUAGCCUACCUUAGAGGAAUUUUAAUUGAAGGAUUUAUACAGCUGUGGAAUCUUGAAAUCCCCUGAGUAAUGUGCAACUGUCUGAGACGCUCCUGGGAACAAACGGCACUCCAGUAUUUGCCACAUUAAAAACCUAUAAAAGAGCUAUUCCAACAUGAUAGGUCUGAUCUACCUUUUACAGAAAACUUAAGAUAAGUAACCUGGAUCAAAAGUAAUCUAAAAUGUCAUUGUAGCUGUUACAGCACUGUGUUCAUGAGCAAUAGAUGCACUUGAGAAGACUUCUCCAUGGCAGCUCUUGAUCUUACAAAAUGGCCUUUAGCACCAGUGAAAGGUUAUUGAGCUUUAAAAUAUUUACCUUCAAAGUAUUCUGGUGACCUGCAUGGUUUGUGAGUAGACAUAGUGCAGAAACCCUCUUUAUAUUUUAACCACUCUUUCCAUAUGUGAAAGAGGUAAAUGCUUACUCAGGAAAGGAGCUUUGCUCCUCAAGACACCAGUUUCCUCUUGCUAUCCAGUAAUUCAAAUAAAAAUAAAUUAAAUCCCCAACUGAACUGGAAAUACAGAACUAUCAGUGGCAAUUGCAUUUGCCUUCCUUCCGGGGGAAAGUAUUGCAAUCCCAAAGCACCAUUUAUUUUGGCCAUUCAAUGAGCAGGAAUUUUUUUUCUAAUUAAUCUGUUUCUUUUCCUUCCAUUUAUUUUUUUCCCUACCCAUUAUUUAGUUUAAUUAAAAGGGGCCAGUUUUUAUAAAAACAGGUACACAUUCAGACUAAUCUACUGAACACAGUUGAGUUACUCUGGACUAACAGUAGCAUAAAUAACAGCAGAACUUGUCAUGGUGUUUCCAAAUUAAUACACCUAAAUGUUUUCCAACUAAUGAAAUGGCUUGAAUAUGAUCAAACAGAUUUUUCUUUUAAUCUGUGAAAGAAAAAUGUGUUUGCUUGACCUGUAAAGCAAGUUAUGCCAAAUUUGAUCAUGAAACAGUAUUUAUGACUAAUUUUUAAUGCACUGAAAACAACUGAAGUGGGAAAUGCUGAUACACUAGUGUAACUAUGACUGUGGAAAUUGAACUAAUGUAGUAACUAAAACGAAUUGGUGUAAUGAAAGAAUAAACCCAUGGAGGCUGGUAAUGCCUUAAAAUGUUGUGAUUUUGAGAUUAAUAUUUAUGGAGCAAAUGAAGAAAAAAGUCAGCAGCUACAGCAUGUGGCAGGAGUCUUUGCUGACACUUGCAGAGCAUCGUGUUGUGCCAGCACUGUUAUAAGCAGUGUCUAAGAGCAAGAACAUCACAGAGUAAUGAACUCUGAAGCAUACUGAAAAACAAUUACAUAUGUGGACAUAAAGCCCAGCAUAUUUCUAUUGAAAUUGGCACCACAGCUGAUAAAAAAAAUAGGCUCAGAAUCUUUUCUUGGUGACACACCAUAUCAUCCCAUUCACUAUAUUUCAAAAAGAACAAAAUUCAGUUGGGGACAUAUAUUUUUGACAGGCAGCACAAGUGAUAGAGUGCUGACUCUGCAUAUCUCCGAAAAUAGAAGUAACUGUACUGCAAAGUAACACUGGAUAAAUGCAGAGAAAUUACUUCCACUAAGAGUGGUAUUUUGUUUUGUUUUUAAAGUAUCCUUUGAAUGUUGUUAAUAGAUCUUCUUAAAAACAAAAUAUUUAAGGAGACUUAUCUUUAAAAUACUACCAGAAUUAUGAUUAGAAAACAUAGGAAUCAUUGCUAUUCUGUAGCAAAAUUAAUUUUCAUUGCUGUAUUUGUGACCUACUUACAGAGACCACAAACACUAAUCUCACUGGAUAAUUAAGAGUGUAAAUAUAAUUUGUCCAGCCCCCGAUGACUGGUUUUAG